AACGAACGCUGGCGGCAUGCCUAACACAUGCAAGUCGAACGAGAUCUUCGGAUCUAGUGGCGCACGGGUGCGUAACGCGUGGGAAUCUGCCUUGGGGUUCGGAAUAACUCCCCGAAAGGGGUGCUAAUACCGGAUGAUGUUGAAAGACCAAAGAUUUAUCGCCCUGAGAUGAGCCCGCGUAGGAUUAGCUAGUUGGUGAGGUAAAGGCUCACCAAGGCGACGAUCCUUAGCUGGACUGAGAGGAUGAUCAGCCACACUGGGACUGAGACACGGCCCAGACUCCUACGGGAGGCAGCAGUGGGGAAUAUUGGACAAUGGGCGAAAGCCUGAUCCAGCAAUGCCGCGUGAGUGAUGAAGGCCUUAGGGUUGUAAAGCUCUUUUACCCGGGAUGAUAAUGACAGUACCGGGAGAAUAAGCUCCGGCUAACUCCGUGCCAGCAGCCGCAGUAACAC
rnacentral:rRNA from 1 species